UUAAAAUAUUUAAAAUUAAUUUUGAAAAGACAAAAAAAAAAUAGAAAAAUAUAAAAGGUAAAGAUGGGUAGUUCAGAAAAUAGAGGGAUAAUUUUGAAAUAAAUAAAAGAUAUGGGUAUUUUUCUAACUAUUUAAAAAAUGGAUAAACGGUGACAUUUUCUAUUUUUAAUCAGACAGUACCGCCCUAAAUAACUGCAAAUAUAUCUUCAUGAGGAAUUCAUUUUAGCCAACUUUUCGGUUUUAGAAAAUAAAAAGAAGAGGCGUUAAGCUUUAGGAUCCUAACCCUGCAGCGGAAGAGAGAGGCAGAGAUUGAAAAUUUGGAUUGCAAGUAUUCAAGGAAGAAGAAGAAGAAGAAGAAGAAAAUGGACGGACCUCCAGCCAGUGAUUGGUGCUCGGUAUGCUAUGGAAAGUUCAAGGUCCCUUGUCAAGCCAAUUGCUCUCACUGGUUUUGCGGUGAUUGUAUCAUGCUUGUAUGGCAUCACGCCUCUGCAAUUCAACCAUGUAAGUGCCCUCUUUGCCGUCGCCAAAUCACAUUGUUGGUUCCUAGUGAAGCUGCACAAAGGGAGCGCCGAUACCCUGAGGUUGCUAAGAUUCUGCAAGAAGUUGAAACCUACAAUCGUCUCUUUGGUGGCCAUUCCAGAGGCCUCUUUCAGAGAAUGCAAGACCUUCCAUUUCUCCUACGGAGGUUGUUACGGGAACUGAUGGAUCCUCAAAGAUCACUUCCUCUUGUCAUCAGGGCACGUGUCUAUAUUGCAGUGAAGCAGCAGGCUGCCAGCUCAGCUUUUGUGUGCUUGAAAUGUCACAUAGAUUUGGUGUUGACCAAAGCAAGAGAACUUCUAGAUUCUGUUAAGCUGUUAAAGAAUGAAAGUUGAGCCCAUUCCUUUUACUCUGUCCCAGAGUAACCAAACAACUAUGGAAGUUUUCAUAUCCUUGGUCUUAAAAGUGAAUGGCGAGUUUCCUAUAAAGUGAGAAUUUGUAGAUGGUAUCAUAGGGGUCAGGUUGAGAAAGGUGACACAUAUAGCAAGGCUUGGUUGCUGAAAGCUUAUAAAGCACAAGCAGCUGAUAAAGCUGCACAUUUGGCGGAAUGACGUAAUUGUAAAUAAGUAUAAAUGCUUUGGAAUAAUGAACAAGAUUCUUGGCAAGAAAAUUUGAGGAUGAAAACAAGCAGCUCUGUUGCACAUUUAUAUGGUGUACUGUAUAGAUGAUAUUAAGUGGCAUCUACAUUCUUAGCCCUGUAGACAUUAUUCCAGAAGGAAUGGUGGGUGCAGUUGGUCUUUUGGAUGAUAUUCUUAUAGGACUUAUUUGCUUCCUUCAUGUCGCUGCCAUUUAUCGGUCAGUAU